GCUCAUGAAGGCAGGAGCAUCAAGGUGAGCUCGGGAAAUCAUUGGACUUUACGCCCCAAAACACCAACGACAUUACACAACAACACACGCGUUUCAUCAUCAUCCCUCGCAGCGGUCAUCUCGAGGUGCUUUAGAUUGGCUUCUAUAUUCUGAAGAUCUAAAAGUUUCUGGAGAAGAGGACCCAAGCGUAGGAGGACGAGGAAGUGGACACAAAUGAACUUACGGAAAUACCACAUCAUACACAACUACUGGGAGCCUGGUUCAGGUUUCGGGUUUUGACCUGGAAUCUUCAUCUGUCAGAUAGGCAGGCUGUUAAGGCAUUGCCAUGGAAACACAAGGGAGUGAAAUUACAGUAAAGUUAAGAGGGAAGCUGUACCAAGGAGCCCAGUCCACCACUCUGUGAAGUGCUGGUAAAAUUCAAGACCAAAGGCAGCACAACAUCAUCUCUCUGGGGCUGAGAGAACUACAGUCUGCCAUAAAGUUCCUGAGUGUUCUUUUAGUCUCUCACAUCUUUCAGAGAAACACUGCAAGUUUUACCCCAACUUGUACACAAUCACCACACAAGAGCCUUCCUCAGCAUGACAGUAAUCAGAUGUCUGCAGUUGUUUCCUCUAAAGUAAAAGCAAUAAGUAGAUUCUAUUUCAGUCUCUAAAACAGAUGGGGUGUUAAAGAUUUAUGGGGCUGAUGAAGGAAAAAAAUGAGUCAGGAAAAGGGAGGAGAGAAAGAAGGAGAGUGUGAGACAGAUGGAGGAAAAGCAUCAAAAUUUUGAUUGGAUUUAUUCAGUUUUGCAAGUCCAGAGAUUCGGAUCCACACUAGCAUUUAUAGGCAAAUAUAUACAGUGCAUUGCAGUCUGUGAGUAUUUGCAGAGCAACACAUUUUUAUUUUGGCACAUUGGUUUACCACAGUGCUGACUUUAUUCUUUAAAAUUAUUCCCAGCUGCACUGAAAACAUGUAGAGCUAUUCCAUGAACUGCUAUGAACAGAUACACUGAAACAAGAGUGAUUUAAUUGGAAAAUGUGAGUUAAAAGAAG